AAAAAAAAAAAAAAAAAAAAUUAAAUUCACAUACUUUAGAUAAAUCCAUAACAAAAAAGACUAGUUCAAUAAUCUAGACUUGAUAAAAACAACUGUGAAUUACUAGUGUUAAAUGCAUAGUUUUUUUUUCAACUUGAGUAUGUUCUCCCUUAACUCAAGUAGAUUCACAUACUAAAUAUGUUGGCAUUACUUCUACUUAACAUUUAAAAUUAUAAAAACAGAAUUUCAAAAACAAAGUAGAAAAUUAAGAAGUAUAUCAAUAAUGACUAUAUUUUAUAAUGUAUCAGCUUAAAGAUAAUUUCAAAGGACGUUAGGCAACUUUCAAAUUUUGACUGAUACCAAACUGAAUUGGCAGAUAUUCAUUAGAAAUCUAUACUUGAAGUAAAGGCAUGCCAUAACAUUGGUUAUUAAGCCUAAUAUUAAUUUAUAUAUUUUUGAUUUUUAUUUUAUGUGGUACUUUUAAAAAAGUUAUUGGGUGUGUCAUGAACAUUUAUUUCUACCGCUUCAGGAACGACAUGCAUUGUGUGCGUGUCUGUAGGUGAUGUAUCACAUGAUUGAUGAGCUCUCCAAGGCUGUGACACAGAUCUGCUAUACAGUAAACAGCGGACAAUUGCCGAUGCCCUUCACAGUUUUCUCUGAGAAAUAAGAAUUAUUCACUUUGGUCAAAUUUAUAAUUAGUAUGUUUUAGAUUAUACUUGGAAGCAGUCAUUUUACAGAAAGAAAGAACUAUGUGCCUAUUUCUAAUUUUCCAGCCAAAAGCAGUAAUUUUCUACUGUAGAUGAUAUUUUUUAAUUACUGGAAAACUAAACUGGAACUUUUAAAAUGCUUUCUUAUUAAAUACAACAUGGAUAGGCAAUUGUGUGUGAAUGCCAUCUUAAUAUUGCUAUUAAAUUAGAUGCAACCUCAUUUUCUCAGGACUUGCCCUAAAAUAAAGGUGUCUAUGCCAUAACACGAAAGAAAAAAAAAUGAAAGCAAAAUUUGGAAUUGAAUUGUACUUUAUUUUCUUAAUGAAAUCUGAGUAUGAAAUGCUUUGGAAUGUGCUGAAAUCUCAGCACUUGCUUAAUUUUCAUGGGUGCUGCUGUCUUUGUUUACUGCUUAUUUUCCUCAUCUUCUACACAGAUAACAAUAUUAAGUUUUAGAAACAAUAACUGACAAAUCAGAUAAAAGUGUUAACUUCUGUGGGAUGAUUGUCUAUGGCUAAAAGUACACUAAGUGAGAAUUUGAAUGACCUCAUUCUCCAAAUCUCUGUUCAUCAGAAUCUUCUUGCUUCUUUAUCAGCCAAUAGCAUCACAGUGCUAUCAGAAUCAUUCCACUUAUUUUUGGAAAAUUUUAACUUGGUUUCAAAUUUAUUUCCUUAGCUUGAGUUUAGGAUCUAAUAGGCCAGUUGUAUUUGAAUGGGUAUUCAUAUCUUUUAAAUAGAGAGUUGUACUAGUAUAGAGAAAUUUGGGAUAUAUUUGAAGGUUACUGAAUAUUUUAGCUUAAAUAUGUUUGCUGUAUUCUAAAAGCAUGCUCAGUUUAUGUGUAAUACAUUGCAACUGUGCAUUAUUCAACUAUUAAAAUGGUUUUCUCUGUAAAGACUAACUUUACCCAAUUUUUUUAAAAAUUAGAUGUAAUACUCCACUUAAAAUGGAAUUAUUAUUUGUAAAGAGCUAUUAUAUCUAAAACUUUCUGAAUUGACUUCACUUCCUUUACAUGCUACAGAAGUUAACAAAUUUUCAUGGUAGUCACAUUACUGUUUUUAUGAACUCUGAAAUCUUUUGUACUGUUAAUCAGAUGAUUUUAACUCCUCUGUCAUGUAGUAAUAGUUUUUACUAAACUAUGUUGUUACAGAUUGUGCAUUCUUGUUUUCACCAAGGGGUGGCUAAGUCUUACAGAAUAGGAAUAUUCUGUGUCCAGGCUUCAGGUGACAUCAAGUAAACAACUCUGAGAUAGCAGGCAAUUAGUAUGUCCAGUAACGUAGCCAAAAACAAAGGGGGUAUAUGCCCGCAAUUCCACCAAACAUUAGAUAUAUAGUACUGAAUGAACUGUCUAGGGUAUAUGAAAGAUAACUUUCGUUUAUUCAUUAGGAUAUCCAUGAUUCAUAACUGAGUUGAUUCUAAUUUUAUAAACUGAAAUUAUCUGAAAUAUGUCAUUGUCUGUACCUAAUCUCUCCAAACUUUAGAAAUACUUAUUGGGUAUUUUUUAUCAUAAAGGCAACAUAACCACUUACAUAAAUCAAAUGAGAAUUUCUCCUUUUAAACUAAGAUGUGUGUUUGUGUGGGACAGAUGUCACAGUGCUGAAUUCUGGGGAGUAUGAAAUUGAGGAACAGCAUCUGAUGAGGCCCGGAAGCUGUAUUUUACCAUGGAAAAAUGCAUGUUUUUCCUUGGGUUCUCCCUAUCUCAUUCCAAAAAGCGACAUAAAAACUCAUUUGGACGAGGAUAUUUGAUGUGGAGAUGUGGCUGGACGGAUUUGCUAAGAACAGGACAGAAGACCUGCCCUGGGUGUGAGUGGCUCCAACCAACAGUCUUGAAGCCUGGAAGGAAUAAAGAAGCAAAGGGAGACUUCGCUCCGUUUCUCCUCCACCCUGCCCUGAGCCAGCCAACCACAGACUGAAAGGUCCGCACUGUCACCCAAAAUGUGCCUGCUCCUCCUUUAACUUGUGAGUGUUGGACAUUUGAUCCCCACAAUGAGAAAGUACCUAUUACAAUAAGUGACCAAAUUUGGCAACUGGGCAACUUUGGAGUAAAUGAAUAGAAUGCAUAAGAAUGUUCAAUUAAAGAAUGAGUAAACUUAUUAAUUUAUC